ensembl:lncRNA
ACAGGGACAGGAGAAAUAAUGGGGUGGAGUCAGUCAGCUUCCUUACAAUGGAGCCCCAGUCAAUACUGCUGGACUGGAUGGUGAUGGAAGCUUCCCUUAUGGUGCUCAGCAACUGGGCCUUGGUGGUGGUGAUGGAGGCAAAUCCUCUGGCAAAUAUGGAAACGGAGGGGGCUUUGGAGCACAGCCAGCAGGCUAUGGUCAAGGACAGCUGGGUGCAGGUCAGAGUGCCCCCUACAGUAACGGAGCAGGAGGGAAGGAAAGCAAAUAUGGUGGUGGUGGACUGACUGGAUUCUUUGGAAAUGGAGGGUACAAAGGUUAAGUCAAUCAGCUGAGGCCUUCUUGAAGUGAAUAUUUGUUCCGUUCAGUCAUGUGUUCAUGGUGAUGUUUGUUGUUUGGUCUGUUGUUACAUUUAACUAUUCCAUUUUUGUUUUGUAUUUGUGUUUUUUGUUUAUGGUUCUUGUCUUUUCUAUUGUUGUGUGUCUGUCCCCUCUCUUCCUCUACUGGCUUUGGAGAUUGUGUUGCCAGUGUGUUUGUGUUCAUAUCCAUUUCACACUAAAGGGCAGAAAGCAACCACAUAAUGUCUGUCAGUCUCCUCAUUCUUUUAACCUUGGCACCAGUAUUGUAAAUGUACUGUACAUGUGAUGUGGGGGUUGAGUUUUAAGACUGAAGCUCUAUGAGUUUAAAUCAACACCAAAUAAAAUAAAAUUCAAAGACAUGUUCCCAAAACCUGACACCUGAGUUCUUCUGAGGUCAUUAUAAAGGGGGAUAUUCUCUGGGAUAUUGUGAUGGACAGUACAUACAGAAGAUGUAAUGUGUAUGAAAAACUAUUCCUUAAUACCUCAGUAUGCCCGUGUUUUUUGUUCAUGACAUAGUACUUCUUAUGUUACUGUAUUGCUAUUACUGAC